ensembl:lncRNA
GCCAAUCUUCUUUUUCUUUUUUCUGCUUUUUCUCCACAAAUCCCCCCAGUACAUAGUUGUAUAUUUUAGUUGUGAGUCCUUCUAGUUGUGGCAUAUGGGACACUGCCUCAGCAUGGCCUGAUGAGAGGUGCCAUGUCCAUGCCCAGGGUCCAAACUGGCGAAACCCUGGGCAGCCAAAGAGGAGCCUGCGAACUCAACCACUUGGCCACAGAGCCGCCCCUGACUUGUUUAUUUUUUCUUUUGUUUCCCUUGUCUGAGAAGACAUGGUAUUCGAAAAGAUCCUUUUAAGUUUGAUGUCAAAGAGUGUACUACCUAUAUUAUCUUCCAGGAGUUUUAUGUUUUCAGGACUUAUCUUCAAGUCUUUGAUCCAUUUUGAGUUUAUUUUUGCAUAUGGCGUGAGAUCAUGGUCUACUUUCAUUCUUUUGCGUGCGGUUGUCCAGUUUUCCCAACACCAUUUCUUGAAGAGUCUAUCUUUUCUCCAUUGUAUGUUCUUGGCACCUUUGUCAAAGAGUAGCUGUCCAUAGAUGUGUGGUUUUAUUUCUGGGCUUUCAGUUCUAUUCCAUCGAUCUGUGUGCCUGUUUUUGUACCAGUACCAUGCUGUUUUGAUCACUGUGGCUUUGUAGUAUAUUUUGAAGUCAGGGAUUGUGACGCGUCCAGCUUUGUUCUUUUUUCUCAGCAUUGCCUUAGCAAUUCCGGGUCUUUGGUUGCCCCAUAUGAAUUUUAGGAUUCUUUGUUCUAUUUCCAUGAAGAAUAAACCUCAGGUACAUUUUAACACACUGUGAGACUCCUGAGUGCCCAAGGAUGGUGAUGGCCUGUGGAGGGUCUCUGUCUGCUCCAGUUUGUUAAAGUAUUAUGGCUCUGGGCCAUCCAUUAGAAACAGAAAGUGCCCUUGGAAACGCAUCUCCUUGAAGGUAAUUUUUAAACUGGGCUUUUUUCCUGGGAACGUUUACAGCUUGGCAUCCGAAUCCUAGGCUGGAAAUAGCUGGGAAGGAAGCUGGGAUGGCCCAGAGAAGAGGCACUGUGACCAUGUGAGGGACCGUUCAGGCCCCUGGCUCUGAACGGUGUUUGCUCUGUGGGCCGGAGGCUCGGUGAGGAUUGUGGGACUGGGGUGUGGAGGCCCGAACCCUAACCUUCUCUAGGACCCCGGGAGGGGGUCUGGGAGCUGACUCCGCUCACUUCCUUCCUUUGCUUUGCGCCAGAUUUUACUCUGGCUGCGUCCGAACCCCGGGAUUUGAAACCCGGGAUCCGUCCAUCAGUCGGGUCCUCCCCCGCGAAGAGAUCUGCGCGGGCUCUGCCGGCCCGGCCCGCCCCCGGGCUGUCCGUGUGAACGCGGCUCGGCUGCUGCAGAGAAGGACGGAGCCGCCGGGAAGUGGAGGCUCCCGAAGACGCAGGAGCGACCUCCCCGAGGCUGCAGGAGCUGGGCCGCCGAGGGGAGGCUCCUGCCGAGAUCUAAGGAAGGGGGGUGAGCCCGCCCUCUCGGGCAGGGCAGAGCGUGGAGCUGGGGGAACACCCGGAACAGAUGGCCCCGGGUCCGCGUGAAGCUGGGGAGGGGGGGCGCCAGGAGGAGAAGCCUCGGCCUGACCUCGGGGAGCGCCGCCCUCCGCCUAGGGGCCCACCCCAUCGGUCUCGGGAGGUCCUGGGCCGUCCUGCUGCCCCGAAACCCGCGCCGCAGCCAGCGACCCCAGCCCGCGUCCGCGUUUACGACGCUCGCCUGAGCCUCUCUGCUUCUGGGUGGUCCACACCGUCCUCAGCUCUCACCUUCGGCGCCCCGGCCCUGCGGUGGUCGGCCCGGACCGCCCGCUCCUUCCCCUCGGCCCCGCGGCCCGGCGGCUACAGCUGGCCGACUUCCGGACCCCUCGGCGCCGGGCAUUGCCUGGGUCGGGUGCGUUCUGCUGCAGACGUCCGGGCACAGACCCACUGCGGGGACAGCGCCCUUGGACUGGUGACCCGAGGUGCGCUGGGCCCGGCCCGGGCGACCCUCUGCCUUUCGGCCUGCUUCCUCAGAGGUCUGCUCUGCUCACUGACUUGCCGGGCCUUGACCUCCGGGGCCGCCGGACGCCUGAGCACGGUCAACCCGGGACUCUGG